CCGAAAAUAGCUCAGCUGGAAGUAGCGGGUGACUGUAGUGGAUUUAACAACCAAGAUAUCACCAGGUCCCUGGUUCAAAUCCGGGUUUUCGGA